GAUGAAGAACGUAGAGAAAUGCGAUAAGUAAUGUGAAUUGCAGAAUUCAGUGAAUCAUCGAAUCUUUGAACGCACAUUGCGCCCCUUGGUAUUCCGAGGGGCAUGCCUGUUCGAGCGUCAUUAUAACCCCUCAAGCUCAGCUUGGUGUUGGGGCCUGCUGCACUGGCAGCCCUUAAAAUCAGUGGCGGCGCCAUCUGGCUCUAAGCGUAGUAAUUCUUCUCGCUAUGGAGUCCUGGUGGAUGCUUGCCAUCAACCCCCAAUUUUUCUAUGGUUGACCUCGGAUCAGGUAGGGAUACCCGCUGAACUUAAGCAUAUCAAUAAGCGGAGGA
rnacentral:misc_RNA from 1 species